rnacentral:rRNA from 1 species
CCUACGGGAGGCAGCAGUAAGGAAUCUUCCACAAUGGACGAAAGUCUGAUGGAGCAACGCCGCGUGCAGGAUGAAGGCUUUCGGGUCGUAAACUGCUUUUAUAUGGGAAGAUUAUGACGGUACCAUAUGAAUAAGGACCGGCUAACUACGUGCCAGCAGCCGCGGUAAUACGUAGGGUCCAAGCGAUAUCCGGAAUUACUGGGCGUAAAGCGUGUGUAGGUGGAUUAAUAAGUGUGAUGCGAAAUCCGGCGGCUCAACCGUUUGGACUGUGUCGCAUACUGUUAGUCUAGAGGACGGCAGAGGUAAGUGGAAUUACGGGUGUAGCAGUGAAAUGCGUAGAUAUCCGUAGGAACACCAAUGGCGAAGGCAGCUUACUGGGCCACACCUGACACUGAGACACGAAAGCGUGGGGAGCGAACAGGAUUAGAUACCCUGGUAGUCCACGCCGUAAACGAUGCAUACUAUUAGUAUGGGGUAUCGACCCCCUGUGCUGAGAAGCUAACGCGAUAAGUAUGCCGCCUGGGGAGUACGAGCGCAAGCUUAAAACUCAAAGGAAUUGACGG